ensembl:lncRNA
CCUCCCGCCGCCAUGUCAGGCGGUCUGUCAGUCCGCCAGGCAGCACGAAGCGGUUGUCGUGGAUCGUUCUGCGGGCCUUUUUGGGGUGUUUUUCGUCUCCCCGGAUGGCCAGUGCCCUCAGGCCGUCGUACAGCAGAACACCUGAAGCGACGCGUUGAUCCUGUGAGCCGUUCUGCUGUUACGUUUGUUCUGUGUUCCUCUCAUGUACUUAAUGGCCUCAUUUUUGUUAAGCUGUUUGUGGACUUCGGCUCCCUUUACUCAGCGUUCGUCACAUCACCUUUGUUUUCAUUCCGCCUUAGGCUUCUUAGCACUGUAUGGAGCCAAAAAUACAGCCCCACAGUCACUGUGUGAUCACUUCCAGCUGUAAGACAGACACUGCAGAAUCUUUAUUGCAGGCCAGUUGCCUUCUCCAUGGCACAGCACUGCAAAUCCACUUCGCCUUUCAAAUACCUCAGGAAAUGAGGUGACGUAUCUGCAUUAUUUCCAUUCACACCCAUGUUGUGUUGUUUUUAUCUUGUCUUUCUGUAGACAGUGUUUUGAGCUUUCUAGUUAAUACCAGCUUAUAAAAGAAAACAACACAGAAAACGAGCAACUUCAUAAAAGAUAUUUGUUUCAUUUUAAAAAAGACUCUCAGAAGAAAGAAAAAAUACUGCAUUCAAACUACCACCUUAAAGCAGCGUAAACGUUCUCGCUUAUAAUAAAAGUAAGAAUUGCUCGACCUAUACUGUCCAAAAAGUUCUUGUACCUUUAAACCACCCAUUAAAAGUUUUGGCUUUUUUUUUUUUUUACUUGCUUCUGAGGCAGCUUUUGAAAUUUCCACCCCUCAGUGGCAGCACGCGGCAUUCCCGUUCUAUGUCACUUGGGACUUAGAUGUACUAGCAUGUAUUUUUUGUGUCAGGGGUUACAGUGUUUGUUUUUAUGACUAAUAAUGUGGACCUUGGGAGCCAGAUAUCUAAGCGCCGUUGAGGAAAUAUCUAAACCUCUGUUAAAGUGUAAUCCCUUUCAAGGCAUGUCUAUGCAGGAGAGUAAAGACAUCGGAAAGCUCUCAACUGCCCAUGCUCCAAACUGCCUUGGAAGCAAGCCAGUUCCAGCAUAGAAGUCCUUUACCUUAACUCUGCGCCUCUACUAAUGGUCCCUGUGACAUUCCUCUGGUGAGUACAGCAUGCAGAAAGCUGUACUUCCUUCAGAGUAGAUGCAAUGUUAUUGCUUAAAGCAUAGCUCACUUUAAAAUACUAAAGUUAAACAAGGGCAGGUUUCAUGCAUACUCAUUCUUGAGAAUAAAGCCAGUGUAAGAUCAGUGUAAGUGAAUUUUGCCCAAAGUAUACUUCAGACAGGUAUCAAGGUUUGCUUCUUUGUACUUGGUGUCUGAGCUUAUUGAUGUUGGAGUUCUUGACGUAUCCUUUGUUCUAUGAAGCUGUAUAAAAGAAGCCAUAAUUGGUUCUUAGACACCAUGAUAUUUAUAAUCAUUUAGAAACCUCAGAGAGAGCAAUCAUUGAGGGUUUUAUAGAUAGUCAUCAUCUUUAUGAAGUGUAGGAUCUAUUUCUGCGUUGUCUGUAGGACCCUGCUGAGAAUCUCCAUUGUCCUGCUCAUCAAAAAGCUGCAAACUCAGCAUGGGCUCUGCUUCUUUCAAGGAUGUGUGCAUACAUCUCUUAGAAAUAAGCAGUUACGGUUGUUUCAUUAGACCUCUAAUAACAUCUCUACUUCAUUUUCCUUCCAAAUAUGUUUACUUCAGGGUUGACACUUAUAAUGUCAUCUCAAAAGAAAGAGGCUCUCCUGACAGAUUUACAGUUAUUACAAAAUAUGAUGCUAUCUGCAUACAAAUGGACAGUAGGAGCUUUAAAGAGAUUUUCCCUAUUAUUGCUGCCUAAGGAAGCAAUAAAAAUUUAACAUUUACCAUUGGGAAACACCUGCAGAGAUUAAAUUAAAACUAGAUUAUAUGCUUAUCAGUUAAAUGUUACAAAAGCAAACUCUUUAGAGAUUAACAUAAAAAACAUUGCUAUACAAAUCUUAUUAACGGCUUCACUCUUAGUACAAUCCAUUCUACACCUCCACUGCUCAGGAGUUCUACGUGUGCAACUUAUUAAGUCUUUGUGCAGCUAUACGGUGGGGAGGCAGGGCAGCCUUACUGAGGGCUCUGCUAUCCUGCUGGCAAAUGCCUAUGUUGAUAUUUAGGUUUGUCUUUAAAAGUUGACCUCAAGUACCAUUUGUCCAUCUCUUUCUGAUCCUAGCUAAUUUCUGAAGGACUCUUCACAUUACACUCUCUGUUUCUUGAGCAUGGAACUGAGAUGUGUUCUGGGCUCCUGUGCGGAGUUCUGCUGGGAAUAUUUCUGGAAACCACACAUCUUUGCUGUUGAACUCUUUCUUUGUUAAGGUCAGCAGGACAGAGGACUUUUGAAAGGCUGGAAGCGGAGAACAAGAUACUGUUGUUGCUGAUAGCAGAUAGUCUUUGUGCCACCUUUGGUAUGUCGUGAACAUAUUAUAGAAAAUAGAAAUCUAGGAGGCAUAUGGGCUGGUGUUAUCUGUGAUCUGGAAAUUCAGAAAGCUUCUGGAUUUGGUGUUUGCCAACAAUUUGAGAGGUUUAUGAUGUAGGUAAUCUUCAGACACUGACUUGAAGAGGACACUAUUAGCAUAGAUACUACCUGAACCCGAACUGCAUAGAUGGGGCUUAGAGCUUAUUUCUCCAUCUGGUAUUAUUGCAACUCCUGUAGCUCCAAGGCUUUUUGAAGCAACAUGCCUUUGGAGAAUUCUGAACUACAUAUGGGAAUACACAACUCAGCAAUAGCCACGUCUUCAAUUAUUUACACCAAGGCUUAGGCCAUAAGGAGCUUUGAUUGUGAAGAUCUGACUUGAUUUGAUGGAUCUGGAGAGCAUGACGUUGACAGGAGAUUCAGAUUGUUCAUGACGUGAUUGUAAAAUAAAUCUUGUCAUUUCCCAGGGACAAAUGCAAAGGCCAUGGUUCUGUAAACAUUUCUCUUUUGGACAAAUCUGACCUAGGGACCUCGUGGCCAUUUUUUCCAACCACUUCCCAUAUCCUCCAUUGUGUCAGCACAGACCUUAACAUUUAGUUAAGUGAAUUGGGAGCAUGGAAGGAAUCCAACUUAAAACCUAUCAAUUUAGGUUUAUGAAAAUAUGGAAAAUAGAGCACUGAUCUAUGGAGGUGCAGGAUGCUGAGGUUGAAGAGCAUAGCCAAAGAAUGGGGAGCAGAAAUAGCUGGAACUUGCUUUGCAGGGAAGAAAAAAUGUCUGUGCAAGCUUGGCCUAACAUUUUAAGUAAUAAGUGUUUGUUGGCCCAGAUGAUAUUCACUGAAAGAGGCUAGGGAGUGUUCGAACAAGUAUAUCCAGAUCAGAGGGGUGGUAACCUAUUGCAAAGCAAUGCUCACAAGCCCCUGGGCAGACUGAGGGAGGACUCUUCUGUCAACACAGCUGGGUUUGGGAGGAGAUAUGUGUCCACAGACACAACUCCCUGCACUGUCACAGUGUGCACCAAUCUUGCCUCACACCUCUCUCCAAAAUGUAAGGUACUGUGUCUUCCAGCACUACUGUAGUGUGCAGUUUUGCCCUCCCAUGUGCCUGAAGGGGUGAACUGUACCUUAGCAUUUUUAUAACAGACUUUCUUUUGAGGGUAGGUAAUGGAUGUGUUUGGUAACCAGCAGAAGCCAUAGGUACAUCCGAAUACUGGGUGUGAGUGUGUUCUGUCAUUUUACUUGGACGAAUUACAGUAUUUAACUUGGAAUGGCCCACUCAUGUCUUUUGCUUGACUUUCAGGCUCUGAGCUGUGUGAAUUACUGACAUGGGAAUUUAAGAUGUCAUUUAUCAAAAAUCACAUACGUUUUCGUACGUGCAUACCUGUAUCCAAGGUGGGGAAACUACUUAACUGCAGUCUGAAUUUUCCAGUCAGUAUACAAAGUAAUUCACUUCUACUGCCACUAGAGGUAUAACAUUCACUUGAGCAAAUACCAAAGGAAACAUUUGGUUGGAAGCCUUGCCCAUAUUAAUAUUUCAUUUUUCAAAUAAUGCUUUUGAUCUGGAUUUUUUUGUUUUGUUUUGUUUUGGAGGCCUCAUCCUACUUUGCUUUUUCCUGUUGAGAACUCUUUCUUUUACUGAACUAAAGCUAACUAUUUGUGAGAUGGAAGGCCACUUUGUGAUUAGAGGGUGCAGAACUGAGUGCUUAUUUAAGCUGCAUAAAAAGCUAAAUUAGAAUGUCAGUCACCAUAUUGGUCACCUGUGACUGGCUCACAUGCAAGCUUGUACCAGCACAUUUGUAAAUCUUCUUUCACAUUGCUUGUUGUUCUCCUGGGUACUUAUGUUUAUUCUGAAAUGCAAACAUAAAAGAAUAAGAUUUGAAAUUAAUUUCUUUUGUAUCUAUUAUGACCAGCUUUCGUUUAGAUAGAAUCUCCCUUUUGAAACUCAUUAAAACAUCACGAAAGUCCCAUGUCUCUGCCAGGGCUGGCAGGAGGAUUGUGGCCUACCCUGGGAUUUAAUCACAGCUCUGCAGUAUGCGUACUGCUGGAGUGCAGGGCAGGGGAUGGUUCUGAACCGAGCUGUGGGGGUUUCUGUGAGAAAGCAGAGGUUGACUAAAUGAGGACUAACUGCAGCCCUGCUGGUGCACAGCCUCUAACUGUUUGAAGUUGGUAGCCUUUCUUUCAGAGCUUCCGACACACUCAGCAGCAGCCUGCCAGUGCCGUGCUGCAUGCUCACAGGCUGGAAGCAGUGAGUUGCUGGGGGAACUGCCCGCUGUGCCCCUGCACUGCGCAGGCCCUAGCAGCUCUCCUGCUGCAACCUGGCAUUUCCACAUGCUGCAUUGCACCUCCUCCUCACUUUUGCCCGAUGAGCACACUGAUGGCAGCUAAGAAAGAUGAGAGAAUGACAGCUUGAGAGUGAGUGUGGUGAAAGCUGGGUGCCUUGAGCUCUAGCUUGAGCUGCAGUUCCCUUCCAUCGCAGCAAACCCACAAGAGUCUUUCUGCCAUGUUCUCCUUUCAGGACUUGCCCACCUGACUCCUGGCUCAGCAAUGAGAAAUGGAAGUACAGGAAGUCCCAUGGUGAAUGCUGGAGGGAGAGAGCUCUCUUAAGAGUGAAGUUUAACAGCUAAGGGAACAGUUACAUAAAAAGGAUGAAUGAGCAACAACAAAAGAGGAAGGCUGGGAUCAUAUAAUCUGAAAACUGGAACCACCAUUUAUGAUUUCCUAUUUAGAUAUAUAAGGUGACUGUGAGUGCUUGCCACAUGGUUCAGAAGGGGCUGUGUGACACAUUGGCAGAAGAAGCCUGUCCCCUUCCAUUGUCUGGCUCAAGAAUGGGUAACUGCUGAGGGGUGAGAGUCUUUAGCCCCGAUAUAGCACAAAAUAUCAAAGGUCUCGAAUUUGCUCAGCUUCUGCCAUCUCAGAUACAAUUCUCUAUGUUCUCACUCUGCCAUAUAGUUACCAGAGCUUUGGAAGGAUGAAGUUAUUAUUUAGCACAGGUUUUUAUUAUUAAUCUUACUAGAGAUUGACUGCACACAAAUUCAUAUUGAAAUCAAACGUCGUGUUUCUGAAAGGGACAAUAUAGAUUUAUGGCUGGCUAAGUGCUGAACACUUCUAAAAUCUCACUGCAAUACUGAAACUUCUGUCUAACGUGCUACUGCAUGAAUCCCUUAGCCCUGUGGCAGCUCCUUUUCUGGAUAAUGGGGAUUAUACUUCCCAAUUGGCUGCAUGGAUUCAUUAUUGUUUUUACAGUUAUUGAACAGUUACCAUUUUUGCUCUGGCUUGAAGCUUUUUAAAUAAGUCAUCAGGGCAGCUGUAUUACAAGACCAAGACAGGGAGCUGCAGAAGUGGAAGGAGGUUUGAAGGAACUGGAUUUUAAAUGGGUAUUUUCUAACUAAGGUAUCAAGCACGUCUCAAAUUCAUAUGGCUAAUUGGUGCCAAAGCUGAUGUUGGUUGGUGUCCCAAGGAACAGGGCUAGAGUCUCACAGGUGCGUUGCUUUUUCAGAUAAGAAAGCAGCUAGGGGAGAAAACAAAGGAACAGAUGAAGCAAUACAGAAGUGUUGAGAAGAAUGGAACAUUGUUAGAGCUAAAACCCUGUUAGAUGCCACAGCUUAGAUGUUAUGCUGUGUUAGGACAAGGAACAGAAAAAGAGUAACUUAUUGGUGCAGCAGGAAAAUAUGCAAUUGAUCUGUUGGAUCAUUCUUACAAAAUAAUGCUUCCUUCUGUUUGACAGUAUCUACAUAGGAGUGAUUUCAAAAUAUUUAAUUGUAGGAGAGCUUAAUCUGCAGUAGCUGUUCUGAUUAAUUUCCCCUUAGAGACAAUUUCUUUAACGAUCAGAGCUAAAGGAAUUAAAAUGAGUGUAAUUUCAAUAGAAAAUUAAGAAUACUUUGAACUUUAUAGAUGUAACAAAAGUCUGUCACCAUAGCUGCCAAGCAGUCAGCACUGAAAAAC